UCUGAUUUUAAUUGUCCAGUUUUUUCUCUCUCUUCUUUUCUCUCUCUUCUUUUCUUGCUGUUACCAUAAUUUUCACCUUAACUAAUGUUUGUUUGUGUGUGAAUUAAAAGUGAUUAUCCUUCUCUUCUUAAUCAUUAACAUUAUUACUGUAUAAUAAUCACCUUAUACUCGGGAUAAAGAGAUUUUUUUCUUACUUUAAGCUGGUCUAAGCUGUUGUUGCCGUUAAAAUGUGUGUUCACGAAGCUUGAAAUGCUCAUUUUUUGGCUUGAUUUUCAAUUAAAAACAGAAAAAAAUGGAAAGGUAACUUCAACCUAAAAACAUCCUAGAUCAAAUUACAGCACUGAAAUUGACUAUACAUAGGUUUAUCCAUUAAUGGCAUUGACUUUGGGUGUUAAUUAUGGUGAUUGCUAAAAAAUGUACAUAGACAAGAAAUGUCUAAUUAAAGGUGUCAACA